AAGGAUGCAGUUCUGUGCGUAAUCAUCGUGCCCAAUCUUUUGUGGUGUUUAUACUUGGCGCAGUAGCUAAGGGGGGCAAGGGCAAGUGGCAAAAGUGGCAUAACGCAAGCAAGGAUGGAGAACAAUCCGGGCGAAUCGUCGGAGGUCGUGUACGGCACGCACGAAGACUCCGCAAUGGUGAUGUCAGAAAAGGUGCAAUCUCUGGCCGGGAGCAUUUAUCAGGAAUUCGAGCGUAUGAUUCAACGGUACGAUGAGGACGUCGUCAAAACACUCAUGCCACUGCUGGUGAACGUGCUCGAAUGUCUCGAUUCAGCCUACCAAACGAAUCAAGAACAAGAUGUAGAACUGGAACUGCUUCGAGAGGACAACGAGCAACUCGUAACACAGUACGAGCGUGAGAAGAAUGCCCGCAAACAGUCCGAGCAGAAGCUGCUCGAGACGGAAGAUCUGGCCGAGCAGGAGAACAAAGAGCUGGCCAGCCGUCUCGAGUCGUUGGAAAGUAUCGUGCGCAUGCUGGAGCUAAAGCACAAGAACAGUAUGGACCAUGCUAGCAGGCUGGAGGAGCGUGAAUCGGAACUGAAGAAAGAAUACAGCAAGCUGCACGAACGGUACACGGAGCUGUUUAAAACUCACGUUGACUACAUGGAACGCACGAAGCUGAUGAUGGGUAAUUCAACCCAUUCGCAGGCUGGAUCCGCCUCCGAACGGUUGGAUGUUUCGCGAUCCCGUUUAAUGCCCAUGAUGCGCUCAACCGGCCCCGUUUCGUACGGGUUUGCUUCGCUGGAAAAUUCCACUAUGCUCGAUACGGAAACGUUAUGCAGCGAGGAAGACAGUGGACCGGAUUCGGGACCACCGUCAUUGCAGAAUGAAAUCGAAACGAAAGCCACCGAAAAGGUGGAAGAAGUGGAUUCGGCAACAACACCGGGAGAUGGUAUGGCAACGAGCUCAACCGCGAAAGUGCUCCAGAGUCCGACUACUGGAGGUGUAUCGGGCAAAACAACCACAAAGAAGGAGCAACGUUCAGCCAACACACUCUAUCAGGAGCUGUCGUUCCAGGAUGAUAAUUUGGAGAGCGAAGAAAACGAAAUUACCGGUGCCUGGGUACAUCCCGGAGAUUAUGCAUCAUCAGCUAACGAUAACUUUUUCGGUAUGGGCAAAGAGGUUGAAAAUUUGAUCAUGGAAAACAACGAGCUGUUAGCGACCAAAAAUGCACUGAACAUCGUGAAGGACGAUCUAAUAGUGAAAGUGGAUGAACUGACGGGAGAAAUCGAAAUUCUUCGAGAAGAGCUAAAUGCGGUAAUAUUGGCACGCAACAAACUGAAGGCAAAGGUUACCGAGCUAGAGGAGGAACUGAAGAAAACGAAAGCUCAAGUAAAGCAGGCAUCAUCAUCAGCAACCGACCAAGAGGAAGAAGGUGAUGUACCGAUGGCGCAGCGCAAACGCUUUACCCGCGUCGAGAUGGCGCGCGUUCUGAUGGAGCGCAACCAGUACAAGGAGCGGUUCAUGGAGCUGCAGGAUGCGGUACGCUGGACGGAGAUGAUGCGUGCCUCGCGGGUCGAAACACUGGAUAAGAAAUCAAAACAAGGCAUAUGGAAGUUUUUUAGUAAUCUCUUUAGCUCCAACGAUAGGCCAACGAAUGAGUCCCCCGGGCGACUUCAUCAGCGGUACGGUGGCGUAAGUGCGCAAUCGCACGGUGCCGCCUCGCUGCUGCCUGCCAUGCCCGAGGGACGAAUGCUCAUUGGGGCAGGCAAUAGCGGCGGUGGUAGUGGUGGUGGUAGUGGAGGCAGUAUCGGUGGGUUGGUAGGUGCCGGCACCUCGACUGCUCUUUUACGCAGUGGCCAUGCAAGCAACAUAUUGGUGCUAUCGAAGGAACCGGAACUAACGCAAUCGGAGCGUGCGAUGCAACGGCGCCGGGACCAGUACCGGCAGGUAAGGGCACACGUACAGAAGGAGGAUGGUCGGCUGCAAGCGUACGGUUGGAGUUUACCUAGUCUAAAGCCGGCGAACGCUACGGGCGCGAACGGUGGUGUUGGUGGUAUCGGGGGUGUUGGACGUCCUACAGGCAGUGGAGUGCCAGUACCGGUUCCCGUAUACUGCCGCCCGUUGGCUGAAGCUAGUCCGCAUAUGAAGGUGUGGUGUGCCAGUGGCGUUAAUCUGCAGGGCGGUUACACGAAGGACGGUGGCUGUAUUGUCGGUGCGGCUAGCAUAUUUUAUGCGAAAGACACCACCGGUGGCGGUGCCCAGAUCACCGAGCUUACCGCCGACGAGGCAACGGUAGAACCGAAAGAUUUGGGUGAACUAUUAGAACGGAAACUGCUCGCCCUUGGUGGCCCAACUUCGCUCGAUGCGGACGGUGAGCUAAGUUCGUACGUAUGGAUCUGUACCAGUACUCAUUCUGCCAGCACGGUCACGGUGAUUGAUGCUAAAAAUCCUUCCGAAGUGUUGGAUUCGUUUCCGGUGUGUCAGAACCACUUACUGUGCAUCUGUACGGUUCGUGGUGCUCUGGAAAUGGACUACGCAAUGUUGGAAAACAGCGAAGUUACCAAAUCGGGUAAAAUGCUUGAAAAACCCGGCGAAUCUCCUGAUGAUAUCGGCAAGGUUGCGUAUGAAAGGGUCGUACGCGCGCAUGCCGAUUCCGCAACUACAUCGGCGGAUGAGGGCAAAGUUACAGAGCAAGCACAAGAAGUGGUACCACCAUCGGACACAGGACCGGAACAAGCUACCGAAGCUAGUAGCGACCGUGAUCUUAAUCAUAACAGUAAGCCCUCCGAUGAAACUUCGGAUAAUAUCAACCUGGACACAAAAGACAUUGCGAUUGCGGUCGAUGGUAAUGAUAAUACGAUCGGUGAGACGACCUCCUCGCCCAGCAGGCAGCAGCAGUCGGCGGCUGCGAUCGAGGAAUCCAUUUCCUCGAUCGGACCGACGAUGUGGCUGGGUGCCCAAAACGGAAUGCUCUAUGUGCACAGUUCCGUCGCAAGAUGGAACGUGUGUUUGCACAAAAUUAAACUACCGGACUCGGUACUAUCGAUCGUGCACGUAGAAUCGCGUGUUAUCGUAGCGCUCGCGAACGGAACUUUGGCCGUAUUUCGGCGACAGGUAAAUGGUGAAUGGGACCUUAACAGUUACCAUCUGUUAACGCUCGGUUCGCCGAAAUAUUCCGUGCGCUGUUUAACGAUCGUCGGUGAUAAGGUUUGGGCCGCACAUCGCAACAAGAUCCACGUGAUCGAUCCAAUAACGCUGUGCAUUCUCAAGUCGUUCGAAGCGCAUCCACGCAAGGAAAGCCAAAUCCGUCAGAUGGCAACUACGGGGCUGGGUGUGUGGGUAUCGAUAAGAUUGGACUCCACUUUAAGGCUGUUUUCGGCGGAAACAUACGAUCAUUUGGAAGAUAUCGACAUUGAUCCGUACGUGUCGAAGAUGCUGGGAACCGGCAAGCUCGGAUUUUCCUUUGUACGCAUUACCGCAUUAUUGGUAUCGUGCAACAGGCUGUGGAUAGGAACCGGUAACGGUGUAGUGAUUUCCGUUCCACUGACUGACGCUAGCGGGGCUUCCAAUACACCGUACUCCCCGCGGUUCGCCAAUGCUCAACUUUCGUUCCAUGGGCACCGCGACGCAGUGAAGUUUUUCGUGUCCGUACCGAUGAACCCGCCCAACCAGGGGUUACCAACCACGUCGAAGGAUAUGCUGGUUAUAUCCGGUGGCGAAGGUUACAUCGAUUUUCGGUUAGAAGAAAUAGUAGAAGAUGUAUGCGAUGCCGCAACACACUUAUUAGUUUGGCGUGUUAGUUCAUCGUAUGAUGAUGAUUUAUCUGUUUGUAGCUAAAAUUAGCAAAUUUCCAUAGAAGAACGUAUAGUGAAAAUCAAAAACCAAACACAAAAAAGGGAACCAGUUCCACAAAACGGUCCACAUGAAAACCCUCGAAUUACGAAACAAAACACAAGUAUCCACCCCUAUAAUUCACGAACAUAUUUGCGAAAGGUGACGGUGAUAUGGAGGCCAGUGUUGAACUCGAACCGAACCAAACCAUAGAGAAUCGCAAUGAAAAGAGCUACAUUAUCGUGUGGAAAGUCAGCAAUCGUUAGGUCGGACUGCGGGUACAAACGAUCAGCUUACCCAGUAUAAUCAUGGCUUUACUUUAGACAACUUUACGCAUAAUCCCUGAAGGCGAGAACAAAUUUAAUUACUUCUUGUACUCUAGAUACACUAAAUCCGCUGCUGCAUGAUGAUAACAUCAAAACACAAAAACAAAAGUUCACACAUACACAUACAACAAGUCAUCCAACUAAUAGAUGCCGUGUCUGAGAAACGGUACAAGUAUUGCCCCUUAGCGUUGUUCCAGGUUUGUGGCCGGUUGUUCUUUUUAACGCGUUGUGUAGUGUCAGUUCAUUUUGCAUAAAAUAAUAAUACUGUACUAGAGAGUUAAACAACCCUCCCCACAAACGUAUAGAUGAAACCUUAACAGCGUAACAUCAAACAUUUUAUGUACCAUCUAAAUCCAGUCCCUGACAAACACAGCACUGGAGAAGUUGUGGAGGAAGUUUUUACGACAAUGAAUUUGUUGUGUCGUUUUACAAAUUGUGUAUUGGCAAACAAUGAAGCUAAGUUAGUGCGAACGAACAGAACGGUAACCAAUAACUCCCUGUCCCUUCCUUCCCUAACACGCCAAAGAAUAAGUUUAGCAGAGCGUUUGUGUCCCUAUCGAUACUUAGGAAAGGAGGACACAUUGAAACAGUCGGACAAGCGCUAUACACAUAUACUAUUAUUACGAGCAAAAUUAUGUGCGAUGGUUAUUUUGUAUUAUGCGUAACAAUACCAUUAAUAUUUAUCACAACAGUAGUAGUAGUAGCGGUAUGGUGAGCUAAAUGAUCGGAGCGAUUAUGAAAACCACAUCAGACGCAUAUACAGACAAGAAAAGAUCGCAAAGCUUGUGCUACACAUACAAAAAGAAGACUAGCAUAGUUGCUAAUACAAUUUCAACAACUUUUUUUUCCUCCUUUUCAUAAACAUACUUAAGCUGAUUUGUUUUAAUUGUGUAUAUAUUAACAAUGUUAUACUAUGAGUUGUAUUUAAUUUCUCAACUAAGUUUUCUGGUUUAAGUCGUUUUCACCUGUGUAAUGUAUGUUUAGUCAUUUUAAAGGUGUUAUAUGUUUAAGAUUGUUUUUAUUGUUUUGUUUAAUUAAGAUCUAUCCCAACAGCAGUCGAUCAGUUAGGAAAUAUGGUUUUAAACACUAAACAGUCAACACAGUGAUCAUAGGCAAAGUUAGAUAAUUUUAAAACUUGCAUAUGCAUGCGGAAGUCGUAACAGGGUAGAACAUUACUUGAUUACGUUACAGUGUUUUAAUUCUUCGGUUGAUAAUGUGUUUGCAAGUUGUAACUGUAGUGGAACCAUUAUUCAAUUUCCUAGUAAACCGUACGUUAGUUAAACCGUAACAUGCUAUUUAGGAUGCAGUUCUUACAGCUUUGCUGCUACGCCAGCUGCACUUUCUUAGCUAUGUUUUAAUUUGUUCGAAUAUUGCGUACAUACUUUUGUUAGCGUACCUCACCCGAACGACGACAGUUGAGCGAUAAAAUUUGUAAUGUAAAAAAAUACCCAUUUGAAAACAGAAAAACAGCAAAUACAAGUAAC